AUUUUGGACAAUGGGCGAAAGCCUGAUCCAGCCAUGCCGCGUGUGUGAAGAAGGCCUUCGGGUUGUAAAGCACUUUCGGACGGAACGAAAUCGCGCGGUCUAAUACAUCGCGUGGAUGACGGUACCGUAAGAAGAAGCACCGGCUAACUACGUGCCAGCAGCCGCGGUAAUACGUAGGGUGCGAGCGUUAAUCGGAAUUACUGGGCGUAAAGUGUGCGCAGGCGGCCGCGCAAGUCGAGUGUGAAAGCCCCGGGCUUAACUUGGGAAUUGCGCUCGAAACUACGUGGCUGGAGUAUGGCAGAGGAAGGUGGAAUUCCACGUGUAGCGGUGAAAUGCGUAGAGAUGUGGAGGAACACCGAUGGCGAAGGCAGCCUUCUGGGCCAAUACUGACGCUCAUGCACGAAAGCGUGGGGAGCAAACAGG
rnacentral:rRNA from 1 species